CACGUAGGGGGCGAGCGUUGUCCGGAAUCAUUGGGCGUAAAGAGCUCGUAGGCGGCUCGGUAAGUCGGGUGUGAAACCCCCAGGCUCAACCUGGGGACGCCACCCGAUACUGCUGUGGCUAGAGUCCAGUAGGGGAGUGUGGAAUUCCCGGUGUAGCGGUGAAAUGCGCAGAUAUCGGGAGGAACACCAGUGGCGAAGGCGGCUCACUGGCCCGGUACUGACGCUGAGGUGCGAAAGCGUGGGGAGCAAACAGG
rnacentral:rRNA from 1 species